rnacentral:rRNA from 1 species
AUGUAAGAGGGGUGAUAGGUGAGGUAAUUGAAAACGAGCGUAAAGAAUCAAUAUAUUAAAGUAUGGAACAUAGAAUUAUAAUUAUGAAAGACGAGGAAAAGGUUAAACCGAUCUAAACUAGAAAUAGUGAAAGAUAAAAAUAUCUGAACUGAAACAUCUAAGUAAGAUAUAAAUAAACCAAAAGGGACUAUAAGAUUACCGGUGAGGGAAAUUAUAGGAGUAUAAAAGUAAUAUCUAAUGAUAUAAAAAAAGUAGAACUACUACUAAUACUAAAAAUAAUUAUAAAUAUCAAGUACCGCGAGGGAAUAUGUAAUAAAAAACAUUGAAUAUUAAUUAAAUUAUUUAUAUAUAUAUAAUAAAUAUAUUUAAAGAAAUUUAUAUCACUUAUAAUAAAUAAAUUAUAUAAUUUUAUUGAAAGAUAAAAAGAUAUAAAGAGUUUAUUAAAAAAGAGUAUAAAGAGUAAGAUAAAUAAAAAAUAAAUGAAAGUCAAUGAAGAAAUACUUUAAUAAAGAGCAGCUAUAGAAUAGUGUACCUCUUGUAUAAUGGGUCAGUGAGUUAUUAUUAUUAGCGAAAUAUAAUAAAAUUAUAUAUAAUAAGAAUAAGUUAAGAAUAAUAGACCCGAAAGUAUAUGAUCUAUACAUUAUCAGGUAUAUUAUAUAAAUAAUAUAUAUUAUAAUUAUAUAAUAAUAAUAUAUAUAAAUUAUAUAUAAAUAUAUAAAAUGUAAAUAUAAAUAUAUUUAAUAUAAGAAUAUAUAUAAUAUGACCGAACAGGUUGGUGUAGCAAUACCUUCUGAAGAAUAAUGUAUUGAAGUGAAAGGCAAAUCUAAUAUACAGAUAGCUGGUUAUCUGCGAAAUAUAUCUUAGUAUAGCAUUUAAUAAUUUAUAACACUAGGUAAAUCACUAGAUUUGAAUAUUAAAAUAUAUAAAUAUAUAUAUAUUUUUAUAUGGGAGUUAUUAUAAUUUAUCAUACGAAUCUAAUAUCUGAACUAGAUGUAAUAUAAAAAUUAAAUAGUCAAUCAUAGUGCGAUAAGGUACUAUGAUAAAAAGGAAACAACCUAGAUUGUAAAAUGUAAGUCCUAAACUAUUUUUAAGUGGUAUCAAUCUUAUAUUAUUUAUAAUAAUAUAUAUAUAAUAUAUAAAUAUAAAUAAAAUUUCUAAUAAGACAAUUAAUCAGUGGAUAUGAUAGUAAUCAACUGCUAGAGAACGUGUAACAACGCAUUAAUAGAUAUAUAGAGAAUAAGAGUAGAUAUACGGGCCUAUAAAGAUAGACUGAAUUACAGAUACCCGCCCCUUCGGGGCGGGCUAUGGUAGCAGAUUACACUAUAAAAAUAGUGAAGAAUAUGCUGACUUGAGUAACGUUAGAAAGGCUAAGCCUUUCCUCCUAUAAAUAUAAGGUUUUACAUUAAUUAACGGUCUCUAAUUUAUAUUAUGAUAAUAAUAUAAAGAUGAGUAUAAUAACUAGAAAUUAAAUUAACCGUACCGUAAACCGACUCAGGUAUAUUUAUUAUAUUAUUUAAUUAAUUAUUAUUAUAUAUAUAAAAUAUAAUAAUAUUAUUAUAUUAAUUAUAUUAUUUAUAAUUUAAUCUCUAAAAAGAAUAAAGAAGAAUAUAAUUAAAAUAAAGAUUAAAUAAAAUAAGAAGGGAGAAUGAGAAAAUCCAUAUAAAUGAACUCGGCAAUAAAGGUUAAACCCUUUAAAUAUAGUGCGACUGUUUACCAAAAACGUAGCCUAUUGCAGAUCUGCAAAGAUUGGUAUAAUAGGUGCUACCUGCCCAGUGUUAGAAAGAUAAUAUAUAAUGUUUUAAUUAACGGCGGUCUUAUUAUGAGGAUCCGAAGGUAGCGAAAUUCCUAGACGUUUAAUUGGCGUCCUGCAUGAAUGAGUACACGAUGCUAUAAAUGUAUCUAUAUGGGUCUCAGUGAAAUAGUAAUUGCAGUGAAGAUACUGUAUAACAAUAGAUUGACGAGAAGACCCUAUACAGCUUUACUAUAGUGUUAUCUUAAUAUAAUAUUAAUUUAAAUAAUGUUAUUUAAAUAAUUUAAUAUUUAUUUAAUCAUCACUUAUAUAUAUAAUAAUAAAAUAUUUUUUUACAUCUUUAUAUUAAAAAUCUAAUUAAUUUUAAUAUAAAUGAAAAUAAUAAUAAUAUACAGAGAUAUCAUAUAUAUUAUGAGACAGGGUAACAUGGUUAGUUUCGAUGGGGCGUCGACAUCACAAAAUAUAACUGAUGUGUCUAUAUGACUUAAUUGUAAUAUAUUUUUAAAUCUAUUUAAGUUUAACUUAAAUAUAUAAAAAUUUAAAAAUUAUAAUAGUAUAUUUAAAUACAGUAAUGCUAAAUGGUAAUUAGUUAUUCUUUAUAUAAUUAUUUAUUAUAUAAUAUAAUUAUUAUAUAAAUAUAUAAAGAAAUGUUAAAUAUAAUAAUAUAACUGUGUUAAGAUAAUUUAACUAACAGGUUAAAUUAGUACGUAAGUAUGGUAUAGUGAACAGGCAAUAACUAAGUAUAGUAUGUCGAUAGCGAAUCAAAGUUACGUUAGGGAUAACAGGGUAAUACCGCUAGAGAGUUGAUAUCGUCAGCGGUGUUUGCCACCUCGAUUAAAUAGACAAUAGUUGAGGUUAAAUUGGGUUAAUUGCAUAAAUAUCUAAGUAUAUUAUUUAUAUUAUAUAUAUAUAAUAAUAUAUAUGACAAUAUGCAGCGAAGUAUAUUUUAUACAUAUAAAUAAGAAAUAUAAACGUUCAACGACUAGAAAGUGAGUAGUAUAACAAUAAUCUUUCCACGAAAGCCCAAAAAUAUUAUAUAAUAUUUAUAUAAUAUUUAAGACAUAGUCUGAUCUAUAUAGAAAUAUAUAGAAAUAUUAAAUUAAAAAUUAAUAUAAUCUUAAUUAUUUAAUAUAAUUAAGUAAACAAAAAUGGUCGUCUAGGCUCAACCUUAUGGCCGCAGCAGCUAUAAAGGGCAUGACUGUUCGUCAUAUAAAGAGCUACUUGAGAUGGGUUAAUUACGGCGUGAGCCAGUAAUGUUUCUAUCAUCUAUUGUCUUAUAAUAAAUUUUAAAUUACAUGUGUACGAGAGGAUUAUGUAGUCUAAACCCAUGGUUAUAAUAUAUAAUUAUUUAUUUAUUUUUAUUAUAUUUAUAUAAUUCUAGGAUAAAUCUUUAUAUUAUUAUAUGCUAAGUUUAGUUGAGGUAAGUAUUGACUGCAUAUCAAAUAUGAAACCUAUAAAAUUUAUUAUUAACAUUAAAGAUAAUAAUGUAAUAGUAUUAUUAUUAUAUUUAUAAUAUAUAAUAUAUAUAUAAUAUAUAAUAUAUAUAUAUAUAUUAAAUUAUAAAUAAUAGAUAUAAUAACUAAUAAGAGAAGAAGUUAUAUAUAAAUUAAUAUAAUUAAUUAAAUUAAUAAUUAAUUUAUUAUAAUGGAACUAAAUGAUUCUAGCUAAUUUUUAAUUACCUAAU